rnacentral:rRNA from 1 species
GCAACGCGAAGAACCUUACCUGGUCUUGACAUCCCGGAGACCCUUAGGAAACUAGGGGUGCUUCCAUCUGGAAGAAUCUGGAGACAGGUGCUGCAUGGCUGUCGUCAGCUCGUGUCGUGAGAUGGUUGGGUUAAGUCCCGCAACGAGCGCAACCCUUGCCUUUAGUUGCCAGCAGUUCGGCUGGGCACUCUAAAGGGACUGCCGGUGUUAAACCGGAGGAAGGUGGGGAUGACGUCAAGUCCUCAUGGCCUUUAUGACCAGGGCUACACACGUACUACAAUGGCCGAUACAAAGGGCAGCGACACUGCGAGGUGAAGCCAAUCCCGUAAAAUCGGUCUCAGUCCGGAUUGGAGUCUGCAACUCGACUCCAUGAAGUUGGAAUCGCUAGUAAUCGUGGAUCAGCAUGCCACGGUGAAUACGUUCCCGGGCCUU